rnacentral:rRNA from 1 species
CCUACGGGAGGCAGCAGUGGGGAAUAUUGCGCAAUGGGCGAAAGCCUGACGCAGCGACGCCGCGUGAGGGAUGAAGGUCUUCGGAUCGUAAACCUCUGUCAGCAGGGAAGAACGGUCACUGUGCUAAUCAGCAGUGAAUUGACGGUACCUGCAAAGGAAGCAACGGCUAACUCAGUGCCAGCAGCCGCGGUAAUACGGAGGGCGCGAGCGUUAACCGGAAUUACUGGGCGUAAAGCGCUCGUAGGCGGUAUGUCAAGUCUAGGGUGAAAUCCCCGCGCUCAACGUGGGAACUGCCUUGGAUACUAGCAAACUAGAGUGAGUGAGAGGAUAGUGGAAUUCCAGGUGAAGGAGUGAAAUCCGUAGAUAUCUGGAAGAACAUCAGAGGCGAAGGCGGCUAUCUGGCUCAAAACUGACGCUGAGGGGCGAAAGCGUGGGUAGCAAACAGGAUUAGAUACCCGUGUAGUC